rnacentral:rRNA from 1 species
AAGCCAGACUCCUACGGGAGGCAGCAGUGGGGGAUAUUGCACAAUGGGGGGAACCCUGAUGCAGCGACGCCGCGUGGGUGAAGAAGCGCCUCGGCGCGUAAAGCCCUGUCAGCAGGGAAGAAAAUGACGGUACCUGAAGAAGAAGCCCCGGCUAACUACGUGCCAGCAGCCGCGGUAAUACGUAGGGGGCAAGCGUUAUCCGGAUUUACUGGGUGUAAAGGGGGCGCAGACGGCGAUGCAAGCCAGGAGUGAAAGCCCGGGGCCCAACCCCGGGACUGCUCUUGGAACUGCGUGGCUGGAGUGCAGGAGGGGCAGGCGGAAUUCCUGGUGUAGCGGUGAAAUGCGUAGAUAUCAGGAGGAACACCGGUGGCGAAGGCGGCCUGCUGGACUGCAACUGACGUUGAGGCCCGAAAGCGUGGGGAGCAAACAGGAUUAGAUACCCCUGUAUCA